rnacentral:piRNA from 1 species
UACGUAGUGUUCUUCAGAGUUUUCCCCUC